rnacentral:rRNA from 1 species
GAUGAACGCUGGCGGCGUGCCUAAUACAUGCAAGUCGAGCGAACAGACGAGGAGCUUGCUCCUUCGACGUUAGCGGCGGACGGGUGAGUAACACGUAGGUAACCUACCUAUAAGACUGGGAUAACUUCGGGAAACCGGAGCUAAUACCGGAUAAUAUUUUGAACCGCAUGGUUCGAUAGUGAAAGACGGCUUUGCUAUCACUUAUAGAUGGACCUGCGCCGUAUUAGCUAGUUGGUAAGGUAACGGCUUACCAAGGCAACGAUACGUAGCCGACCUGAGAGGGUGAUCGGCCACACUGGAACUGAGACACGGUCCAGACUCCUACGGGAGGCAGCAGUAGGGAAUCUUCCGCAAUGGGCGAAAGCCUGACGGAGCAACGCCGCGUGAGUGAUGAAGGUCUUCGGAUCGUAAAACUCUGUUAUUAGGGAAGAACAAACGUGUAAGUAACUGUGCACGUCUUGACGGUACCUAAUCAGAAAGCCACGGCUAACUAUGUG